GAUGAACGCUGACAGAAUGCUUAACACAUGCAAGUCAACUUGAAUUUGGGUUUUUAACUUAGGUUUGGGUGGCGGACGGGUGAGUAACGCGUAAAGAACUUGCCUCACAGCUAGGGACAACAUUUGGAAACGAAUGCUAAUACCUAAUAUUAUGAUAAUAGGGCAUCCUAUAAUUAUGAAAGCUAUAAGCGCCGUGAGAGAGCUUUGCGUCCCAUUAGCUAGUUGGAGAGGUAACGGCUCACCAAGGCGAUGAUGGGUAGCCGGCCUGAGAGGGUGAUCGGCCACAAGGGGACUGAGACACGGCCCUUACUCCUACGGGAGGCAGCAGUGGGGAAUAUUGGACAAUGGACCAAGAGUCUGAUCCAGCAAUUCUGUGUGCACGAUGAAGUUUUUCGGAAUGUAAAGUGCUUUCAGUUGGGAAGAAAUAAAUGACGGUACCAACAGAAGAAGUGACGGCUAAAUACGUGCCAGCAGCCGCGGUAAUACGUAUGUCACGAGCGUUAUCCGGAUUUAUUGGGCGUAAAGCGCGUCUAGGUGGUUAUGUAAGUCUGAUGUGAAAAUGCAGGGCUCAACUCUGUAUUGCGUUGGAAACUGUAUAACUAGAGUACUGGAGAGGUAAGCGGAACUACAAGUGUAGAGGUGAAAUUCGUAGAUAUUUGUAGGAAUGCCGAUGGGGAAGCCAGCUUACUGGACAGAUACUGACGCUGAAGCGCGAAAGCGUGGGUAGCAAACAGG
rnacentral:rRNA from 1 species